CAUCCUUUUAUUUUUAUCGCAAUGACCUCAUGUCUUAUGGCAGAAGUUUACUAACGAGAGAAUCUCUUUCUUUUAUAUAACUUCGCCGUGCGCAGUGUCGUUCGCUUGGCUCUCUUCGUCCUGGCUGGGGGGACAUGGAGUGUCUCUAUUAAACUCCAACACUGGGCUGUAUGGCGAAAAAAAAGUCAUUUUCACGACAAAUUCUCUAACGCCUCUCCCCCCCCCACCACCACCCAAAGAGGCCGAUAAGUGCUUAAGCAUGAAGGCAGGGAGCGAGGUGUGCGAUGAUGUAACGGCCGCACAGCCCAAGAGAGAAGACUUCUUUUGUCGUAGCCGAGCAAUGCCGAGCUCCAUCAGUGUGACAUCAUCCCCGGCCGACACAAUGGCGCUCUUCAUCUCCUGAGGGCCCCGCGCUAGGAGCUGCGUCAUCCCUGCCCCCCCCCACCCCCCCAGCCCCCCAACCGGGAGGAGGAGGGAGAGGAGG